rnacentral:rRNA from 1 species
GUAAGGAAUAUUGGACAAUGGGCGCAAGCCUGAUCCAGCCAUCCCGCGUGCAGGAUGACGGCCCUAUGGGUUGUAAACUGCUUUUAUUUGGGAAGAAACGAAUUCAUUUAUGAGUUCCUGACGGUACCUUAUGAAUAAGCACCGGCUAACUCCGUGCCAGCAGCCGCGGUAAUACGGAGGGUGCAAACGUUGCUCGGAAUCACUGGGCGUAAAGCGCUCGUAGGCGGAUUGGUCAGUCAGAGGUGAAAGCCCAGGGCUCAACCUUGGAAUUGCCUUUGAUACUGCCAGUCUUGAGUUCGGGAGAGGUGAGCGGAAUUCCGAGUGUAGAGGUGAAAUUCGUAGAUAUUCGGAGGAACACCAGUGGCGAAGGCGGCUCACUGGCUCGAUACUGACGCUGAGGUGCGAAAGUGUGGGGAGCAAACAGGAUUAGAUACCCGUGUAGUCC